rnacentral:rRNA from 1 species
CUGCAAUCGCUGCUAUACAUGCAGUCGAACGAGCUUCCGUUGAAUGACGUGCUUGCACUGAUUUCAACAAUGAAGCGAGUGGCGAACUGGUGAGUAACACGUGGGAAAUCUGCCCAGAAGCAGGGGAUAACACUUGGAAACAGGUGCUAAUACCGUAUAACAACAAAAUCCGCAUGGAUUUUGUUUGAAAGGUGGCUUCGGCUAUCACUUCUGGAUGAUCCCGCGGCGUAUUAGUUAGUUGGUGAGGUAAAGGCCCACCAAGACGAUGAUACGUAGCCGACCUGAGAGGGUAAUCGGCCACAUUGGGACUGAGACACGGCCCAAACUCCUACGGGAGGCAGCAGUAGGGAAUCUUCCACAAUGGACGAAAGUCUGAUGGAGCAAUGCCGCGUGAGUGAAGAAGGGUUUCGGCUCGUAAAACUCUGUUGUUAAAGAAGAACACCUUUGAGAGUAACUGUUCAAGGGUUGACGGUAUUUAACCAGAAAGCCACGGCUAACUACGUGCCAGCAGCCGCGGUAAUACGUAGGUGGCAAGCGUUGUCCGGAUUUAUUGGGCGUAAAGCGAGCGCAGGCGGUUUUUUAAGUCUGAUGUGAAAGCCUUCGGCUUAACCGGAGAAGUGCAUCGGAAACUGGGAGACUUGAGUGCAAAAGAGGACAGUGGAACUCCAUGUGUAGCGGUGGAAUGCGUAGAUAUAUGGAAGAACACCAGUGGCGAAGGCGGCUGUCUAGUCUGUAACUGACGCUGAGGCUCGAAAGCAUGGGUAGCGAACAGGAUUAGAUACCCUGGUAGUCCAUGCCGUAAACGAUGAGUGCUAAGUGUUGGAGGGUUUCCGCCCUUCAGUGCUGCAGCUAACGCAUUAAGCACUCCGCCUGGGGAGUACGACCGCAAGGUUGAAACUCAAAGGAAUUGACGGGGGCCCGCACAAGCGGUGGAGCAUGUGGAUUAAUUCGAAGCUACGCGAAGAACCUUACCAGGUCUUGACAUCUUCUGCCAAUCUUAGAGAUAGACGCUUCCCUUCGGGGACAGAUGACAGGUGAUGCAUGCUGUCGUCAGCUCGUGUCGUGAGAUGUUGGGUAAGUCCCGCACGAGCGCAAUCCCUA